rnacentral:rRNA from 1 species
UACGGAGGGGGCAAGCGUUAUUCGGAAUUAUUGGGCGUAAAGGGCGCGUAGGCGGUUUGUCGCGUCUGCCGUGAAAGUCCGGGGCUCAACUCCGGAUCUGCGGUGGGUACGGGCAGACUAGAGUGAUGUAGGGGAGACUGGAAUUCCUGGUGUAGCGGUGAAAUGCGCAGAUAUCAGGAGGAACACCGAUGGCGAAGGCAGGUCUCUGGGCAUUAACUGACGCUGAGGAGCGAAAGCAUGGGGAGCGAACAGG